rnacentral:rRNA from 1 species
GACGAACGCUGGCGGCGUGCUUAACACAUGCAAGUCGAACGGAAAGGCCUGCUUUCCCUUGUGGAUUGCGGGUACUCGAGUGGCGAACGGGUGAGUAACACGUGAGUGAUCUGCCCCCAACUUGGGUAUAAGCCUGGGAAACUGGGUCUAAUUCCCGAUAGGACUGCAGGGUGGUGCCUGUGGUGGAAAACGAUUUUCUAGUGGUUGGGGAUGAGCUCGCGGCCUAUCAGCUUGUUGGUGGGGUAAUGGCCUACCAAGGCGGCGACGGGUAGCCGGCCUGAGAGGGUGGACAGCCACAUUGGGACUGAGACACGGCCCAGACUCCUACGGGAGGCAGCAGUGGGGAAUAUUGCACAAUGGGCGGAAGCCUGAUGCAGCGACGCCGCGUGGGGGAUGACGGCCUUCGGGUUGUAAACUCCUUUCGACCGCGAGGAAGCCACCUGGUUGGAAGGGUGGUGACGGUAGUGGUAGAAGAAGCACCGGCUAACUACGUG